rnacentral:misc_RNA from 1 species
AGAAAACAAGGCAAAAGCUAGUGGUGCAAGUCAACUUGUUGUUAGGGAUUUGAAAGAGGAAUUUGUGAAAGAUUUCAUCUUUCCUUGUUUAAGAGCUGGCGCAAUCUACGAAAGAAAAUAUCUGCUUGGAACUUCGAUGGCUCGCCCUGUUAUUGCCAAGGCUAUGGUUGAUGUUGCUAAAGAAGUUGGUGCAGAUGCUGUUUCACAUGGAUGCACAGGGAAAGGAAAUGAUCAGGUUCGAUUCGAACUUACUUUCUUUGCUUUAAAUCCUGAACUCAAUGUUGUGGCCCCAUGGAGGGAAUGGGAGAUCGAAGGCCGAGAAGACGCAAUUGAAUAUGCUAAGAAACAUAAUGUUCCAGUCCCAGUUUCAAAGAAAUCUAUAUACAGCAGAGAUCGGAACCUAUGGCACCUGAGCCAUGAGGGGGAUAUCUUGGAGGAUCCAGCAAACGAGCCGAAGGAGGACAUGUACAUGAUGACCGUUGGCGCAGAAGAAGCACCCGAUCAGCCCGAGUACGUCGAGAUCGGUAUCGUCUCGGGCACACCCAUCUCCCUCAACGGAAAGGACCUCUCACCCGCCACCCUCCUCUCCAAGCUCAACGAUAUUGGCGGGAAGCACGGGAU